UACGUAGGGUGCAAGCGUUAAUCGGAAUUACUGGGCGUAAAGCGUGCGCAGGCGGUUGUGCCAGACAGAUGUGAAAUCCCCGGGCUCAACCUGGGAACUGCAUUUGUGACUGCACGGCUAGAGUGUGUCAGAGGGGGGUAGAAUUCCACGUGUAGCAGUGAAAUGCGUAGAUAUGUGGAGGAAUACCGAUGGCGAAGGCAGCCCCUGGGAUAACACUGACGCUCAUGCACGAAAGCGUGGGGAGCAAACAGG
rnacentral:rRNA from 1 species